CCUACGGGUGGCUGCAGUGGGGAAUAUUGCACAAUGGGGGGAACCCUGAUGCAGCGACGCCGCGUGAGGGAUGAAGUAUUUCGGUAUGUAAAGCUCUUUCAGCAGGGAAGUAAAUGACGGUACCUGACUAAGAAGCCCCGGCUAACUACGUGCCAGCAGCCGCGGUAAUACGGAGGGGGCAAGCGUUAUCCGGAUUUACUGGGUGUAAAGGGAGCGUAGAUGGGUAUGCAAGUCUGAUGUGAAAGUCCAAGGCCCAACCAUGGGACUGCAUUGGAAACUGUAAAACUGGAGUGCAGGAGAGGUAAGCGGAAUUCGUAGUGUAGCGGUGAAAUGCGUAGAUAUCAGGAGGAACACCGGUGGCGAAGGCAGCUUACUGGACUGUAACUGACGUUGAGGCUCGAAGGCGUGUGGAGCAAACAGGAUUAGAUACCCGAGUAGUC
rnacentral:rRNA from 1 species